GGGGUCGGCGCCGCGGAGGCGGGGAGGGAGGGAGGGUUGGAGGGUUGAGCCAGAGACCCGGGACCCCGUCCCCGCACACCUGCCAGUGCCCCGUAGCUUCGGCCGCCGGCACUGGCAGGAGAUGAAAGGCUGCUGCCGCCCGGUCGGAAGGACAUCGGCGCCCCCCAGGCCCGGUCCCCGCCCCAGUUCCUCGGGCCUUUCCUGCUGCCCCUGCCUGCGAGGGCCGACGACACGGAGAACAGGAUCCUGCGCCCAACCCAGGAGCAGUUGGGUGAGGAGCACCAGAAAUUCAAUGCUCCCUGGCGCUGCAUCCCCAGAGCCCUCCCAGCCUAAGAAGCCCCAUCUUUCUGUCUCCACGCAUGGAGAACUGCAGCUGUGAGGCCCAGGACCCUUAGCAGGACAUGCAGAGCUGGGCAGGGACCCAGGCUCAUGCUCCCAGCGUGGGUGGGGAACACAGAGCCCUGCCCAGAGGCUUGAACCUGGCACCACAGGGGUCUGGAAUUACACAGAAGACGGGUGACAGCCAAGGUGGAUCAUGAACGGUGAGAAGUCCAGCAGGUGACAAGGGGAAGGGUCUAAAGGGUGGAGGGCACAGCGCAAGCAAAGUCUUGGCAACAAAAGAGCUAAUGCAUCCCAGAAAUGGGGCAGGUGGAGUACUGGAAGCUACACCAAGCUUCAGAGUGGUCCUGUGGCCUCGGUGUGGUAGCUCAGGCCUAUAAUUCCAACACUUUGGGAGGCUGAGGCAGGAGGAGGAUAACUUGAACCCAGGAGUUCAAGAUCAGCCUGGGCAACAUAGUGAGACCUCCAUUUUUACAAAAAAUACAAAAAUUAACUGUGUGUUGUGGUGUGUGCCUGGAGUCCCAGCUCCUCGGGAGGCUGAGGUGGGGGGAUCACUUGAGUUCUGGAGGUCAAGGCUGCUGUGGGCCAUGAUCUUGCCACUGCACUCCAGCCUGGGUGGCAAAGCAAGAU
rnacentral:lncRNA from 1 species